GGUUUCCAUGGUAUUCCGGGGUGACCCUGAAAGGGGGAAGUUUGAUACUCAGGAGUGUGAGGACGACAGGAAGACAGAUUUGAGCCCCGAGCUGUAACGUAACUUUCAGAAGAGCGAGGCAAUCUAAGGCUCACAAUCAGCUCCAUCAAAGCAAUUUAGUGGGGAUGUUCCUAUCUCUCAGCCAUGGGCAGUUCCACAGGGAGAUAAAAUUUGAUGGGAGUAGCAAAGACUCUUACGUCCUUGGCAGAGCAUUCCACAAACCAGGUGUGGUGGCGCAUGCCUACUGUCUCAGCCCUCAGGACACAGAGGCAGGAGAUUCAGAGUUCGAGGUCAUCCUCAGCUACACAGUUGUUUGGAGGCUAGCCUUGGCCACGUAGGAUCCUGUCUCAAGGGAACAAACAACAACAGAGAAAGAAGAAAUAGGUGGCCUCCCUUGCAGCUAGAUGUGACCCAGCUUAAGAAGACAGGGAUCCAGUAUCAUCUAUCCUUGUAGUCUUAUCAAGAGAAGGAAAAACAACACAGUCCGGCCAUCUUUCCUCUCCCUUCCUGUCUGCAGAGGAGGCAGCCAUCUUGAAAUCCUAACACAACAGCAAUAAGGGACACUAGCAUCCUCAGAACAGCAACGCCCCUGCGCUCCUGACAGCUGCGCCGAUGCCAGCAUUCACCUACUUCUGGAAUAUCACAGGGAGAUUGGCAAGUCUGUCUAAUGCCAUAGUUGUUUAGUCUAAUUUGUUAUUUGUAACCAAACAGACCCAACUGAUGUAAAAUAAUUUACUGCUUUUUUAUUUGCAAUGAAUAAAUGGGUCAAUGACCCCCCCACACACACACACAUACAAACCCCAGGAACACAAACAUUAUCAUUUCAAAUAUGCUUAUGAUAAAAAUUAGAUGCUUUGAUAUGUCACAGCCCUCAGCUUAGGGCUGGACAUACCUGUUCCAGUCUUGGUCUCUUGGUAUCAAGGAAAGAAGGAAGGAUGGUGGGUGUUGAGUCACACAUCUACUUAGCAGUCAUCUUAGUACAGAGUGACAGUCCGUGGUAAAGUUUAAAAAAGAACUUGAUUUCUUUCUCUCUUGAUCCUUGCAGCAACUUACAAGGUCUCAUUAUAAUUCAGAAAAAUAUACAACCCUUCUCAACCCCUCCCCUUAUUAAAGCUAACAUUACUGCUGAUUUUGUUUUUGUUCUUAUGAUUCCAUACGCCUUCCUAAACAGUUACACACACACACUAAGGAGAUUUUUGUUUUGCAUUCUAAGCAGAUGGUGUGAGGUACAUUGCCCUUCAAUGUACAAUGCCCUUCCUCGUCUAUAUCUGUCUUAGAGCUAUUUCUAUGGUGGUUCAAACAUCUGUCUUUAAGUUCUCAGUGGUUGUUGUGAGGGGGAGUGCUCACUGUCAACUUGACAGGAUCCAGAGUCUCCUGGGGGAUGGGCUUCUGGGAUGCCUGUGGGGAAUUAUCUUGAUUACAUUAAUUGACCUGUCCACUAUGGGCAGCACCAUUCCCAUGGCUGGGACUCUGGACUAUGGGAUGGAGAAAGGGGCUAUGUCAGCACAGUGCAGCAGCACUCUCUGCUUCCUGGGCGUGGAUGUGAUGUGACCAGCUUUUACUUCCUGGCCAUGUUGGGCUACACUGCGAACUCUGAGCGAGAGUAGACCUUUCUUUCCUUAAAGUUUCUUUUUAUGGGAGUAUUUUAUCAUAACAAUAGAAAAUGUGUAACCAAGCUGUGCAGUGAGGAAUGAUUUACUAGGGGUUAAGUAAGUUCAAAGUCAAGAUGGGUCACUUUACAUGAUAAUGGUCUCUCUGUCUCUAGAAGAACCAAGUCAAUCAAAGAAAGAGAAUGACUAUGGUGGCCUUUAAGGACCAUACUUAGCCUGAAAUACUGUUUGUCUUUGGCUCCCUGGGAGAUGGGAAAUUGCAUCUUUACUGUCUUGAGCAUGAGGUUGCUUAGCUACUCAACAGUGGCUGAUCACGCUGUGUUUAAAAAAGUCAGGAUUAAAUCAAUGAUUCCCCGCGGAUGACUGAACCAUGAAAACUCAGGUCUGCAGGAUACUGAUAUUUUUGUGGAUUUCUUCUUGGCAAGUUUGGCUGCAGUCUAGGCAAGACACAUUGCUAGUGGAGAUCGGGGUUGCUGAUGUCUUGGCUUUGAACGAGCAGUCUCUGUGGUAGCAAUGCAUGCCCAGGAGAUAGAGGAAUGUGUGUGGCCCCUCUUCCCCUCCAAGAGGUCCAAUCUAUAUCCUACCCUGGCGGUGCAGCUCACUGAGCACUUCAUAGCAUGCACAAAGUUCCAAGGUUGGUCCCCAACAUUAUAAGAGCAAUCCAACUCAAGAUGGUCAGUCUACUACACAAACAGUGUGGAUGGGUAUAUUACCUGGUAUGGUGGUUUGAAUAUGCUUGGCCCAAGGAGUGGCACUGUUUGGAGGUGUGAUAUUGUUGGAGUAGGUGUGGCCUUGUUGGGAUAGGUGUGGUCUUGUUGGAUCAGGUAUGGCUUUGUUGGAGUAAUUGUGUUACUGUGGGGGUGAGCUAUAAGACCCUCAUCCUCUUCCUUCUCCUGUUUGCCUUCAGAUGAAGAUGUAGAACUCUCAGCUCCUCCUGCACCAUGCCUGCCUGGAUGCUGCCAUGUUCCCACCUUGAUGAUAAUGGACUGAACCUCUGAACCUAUGGGCAAAUGGAGGCUCCGAGCAACAGAACGACGCUCCUUUCCUACGCGGAGAAUGAAGCCUUCCCCCACCCUCCCUCCGGACUGCAGAUUCCCAGUGAGCUAUCUCCAGACUGACUUGGGCUUUCUCUUCGGCUCUCGGUGGACAGGGGACUCCGUGCCUCACUCAUCCUGAGCUUCACGUGUCUGAUAGCGAUUGGGAUCAAGUCGGUCUGAUCACUUAGCUAUGCUGGUCACACCCCGUAUCCCAGAACUGUGUUGAAAAAUGCAAUUUGUAACAUCCCAGGUGGAAAAUUUCUGAUUCUCUCUGACGGAGAAUGCCGAGGAGGAUUGGUCUCUAGUCUAGCGGAAAUAUAAACAUCGGUUCUGAGAAUAAAGGAGACUGGGCUUUUCACUGAAUCUGAUGCUCACCAAUUCUGAUCAACUUUUCAGAUACACGUGCAUCUACGUAUGAGCCUGAGGAGUCAGAGGUAUCGGAUACCUGGAGCUGGAGUUAUAGGCCGUUGUGAGCAGCUGCUGUGAGUGCCUAGAAUUAAACACAAGAACAAAGCAUGCCCAUAGCCAUGGAGCCAUUUCUCCAGUCCUGCCAUUGUGUGUUAUGUUCCAUUAAAAUGAGGUUAAGAAAGCCGGAGUGUCCUGGAGAUGGAUGUAAGUGGAGGGGGUAUGCGAGAAGAGCAGCAAAAGAAGUAAAUGGUUUGUUCUGUGCUGACGUCAUUAACCCCACCCACUCAUCCCCCCCAACCCAGUCAGCAUCAUUAGGAAACAGGCAAGGAAGUCUGUUCUACUCCUGUAGAUUACACACUUAGUAUGAACAUCUAGGUCAGGUUUGGGAGGGGAGUUUAAUGCUGUACGUUGUCUAACAGAUUAGUAAUGUCUCGCUCCAAUCAAUGGGAUGGGAAGCUUUUGAAUCACUGGCUAAAGUGAAAGCGUGCUAUAAUUGAUUAGUGAUGUCUGCCUGGGUAAGCAGCAGCAGGCUUGGAAUUUGCCUGAUCUAAAGACCCUGGCUUUGAAGGACACCAUGGUCUCUCAGCUGUCUUUUGGUUCAUGACAAGUUUGGUUUUUCUUACUUGGUCUCUUUUUAUUUUGAUUUACUUCCUAAAUUGGCCAAAUAUAAUGCUCUACAAGGCAUUGGAAGGGAGCCUGCAUAUACACCACUGUGUCUGCCUUCCAGUUUGCCUUUAGCUGUCUGUGGCAGCAGAACAUAUCAGAACAGCCUCUUACAACACAAAAUGGGAAAAGGGCUGCCAGAGUGCUUCAGGCAAUGGUAUUAGCUAGGAAAAUUGGGUUUUGACGUUUCUGAAGCUCUGGUGUCUCCAAACUGGGACAGGUUCUUCAUUCUCCAGGGUUUUCAUCUCAGGAGUAGCAGCAUCUGCCAUGGGACCUGCCUCUUUUCUCUUCUCCAGCUCCUGUGGUCAAACAGGUGUGGUAAACAGGGCCAACCAGAAGGAUUCAAGCUUUUCUAACUUGUCUUUUACAGUGACAGUCAGGAGGGAACACUGUGAAUCUAGGUGUCAAAAAUCACAAAGACCGUGGAGCAGAAUACAGAAUAUUUAUUUCACACGAUCAUUCUGCCAUUCAUUUAUUUUCAACAAACACUGUCUGAGCAUUUCCUAUAUGUCAGGGUAUUGAGGUUUAUUGAAGACAUAGACAGAAGUAAGGAAGUAAGGAAUUUUACCUGCCUGUUAUGGCUUGGAGCCUAAUAGACAGGUGCGCUCAUAAGUCUAGUGUGGAAUGGCAGCUGUUCAGUCAGAGAAUGCUCAGGGUGCGUGGAAAGAUAAUGAGAAUUAACUACAUAAACCAUGAGGCAGGUGCUAGGUGCAGCUCUUACCCAAUGUCUCCAGUGGGUGGCGCUGUUUAGGGACGUGCAACCACCUCCUUGCUGGAUGAAGUCUCACUAGGAUCAGGCUUUCUGAUUACACACCCUUAGCCACGCCCAGUUUGCUCUCUCCCCUUUGUGAAGAUGUGAGCCCUUAGCUUCCGGUUCCUGCCACCAUGCGGGCCAUGCCUCUCUGCCAUAGUGGACUGCAAUCCCCGUGGGACCAUGAGCCAAAAUAAACUCUUUGUUCAAUCAGUCAA